UACGGAGGGUGCGAGCGUUGUCCGGAAUCACUGGGCGUAAAGGGCGCGUAGGUGGUUUGAUAAGGGUGUGGUGAAAGUCCGGGGCUCAACCCCGGAUCUGCCGUGCCGACUGUCAAACUCGAGGGCUGUAGAGGCAGACGGAAUUCCGGGUGUAGCGGUGGAAUGCGUAGAGAUCCGGAGGAAGACCGGUGGCGAAGGCGGUCUGCUGGGCAGUUUCUGACACUGAGGCGCGACAGCGUGGGGAGCAAACAGG
rnacentral:rRNA from 1 species